rnacentral:lncRNA from 1 species
GGGACCUUUCAUUUCUCAUUGAUCACCUUCUUUCCUCCAUGCUCACCUUCUUUCCUCCCAGCUCACCUGCGUUCCUCCCUGUUCAAAUCCCUCUCCGGCCCGCUCACCCCGGGCUCUCUCAGUGUCAGUAAGGCUUGUUAGAUCAUUCUCACCCUUCUUGACAAUCACCAAGUUGAUAACAGACAGGCCUUGGUUGACAAUGCAACCACGGACGGACUUUCUCCUGCGCUCACCAUUACGCCUGCCAAAACCACGGAGGCAAGGUGUGCCCCUGUGAAGCAGAAGGCGGACACGCCCGGAAGUAAGCACUCCUUGCUUCAUCGGGAAACCCUGCUUAUCACAGCCACCCAUGAUCUUGAAGAUAUAACCCUUGAAUUCCUAACCCGGAAGAUCACCAACUACCUCAAGGAAACAAGCUGAGCAAGAAGAAAAGAAGGUGACCAAGGAGGAAAGAAGGUGAGCAAGGAGGAAAGAGAGGGAGCAAGGAGGAAAGAAGGUGAGCCAGGAGGAAAGAAGGGGAGCCAGGGGGAAAGAAAGUUACCCAAGAGGAAAAAAGGGCAGCAAGGAGGAACAGAGGUUAACAAGGGGGAAAGAAGGGUAGCAAGGAGGAAAGAAGGGUACCGAAAGGAGAGAAUGUCGUCUCGAGGAGUAAAGGGGGUAGAACUACUAGGAAAAAGGGUGCAAAGGAGGGAAGGAAGGUUCCCCUCGGCGGAAAAAGGGCGGCGAAGGAAGUUGGAUAUUCUAGAAUGGCUAAAAAAAAUCAACGUCGUGCCUCUGCUCGCUCCGAAGGAAGCGAUCGAUUGCUUCUUUCCGUCAGCCGCACCAUCCUCCACGAAUGCAAGGGGUUGGGGACUGAAUAACAGGGAGCGCUUUAUUUGCCCAUUGGGUGGGCGGGGCCGGGGGGAAGGUUCACGUUCCCGCAAUUCCAUUUGACCUGAAUGUAGGGGGAUUGAAAAUUCAAGGGGUGGGGGUAUUUGUUUUUCUGGUCGGUGUUAGGCUAGGACGUUGGCGCAUUUCUUACUUUUUGGCCCCUUAUCCCCUUUUUGCCUGUUUGGGGGGUGGGGGGAGGAGGCCGGGAGAGGUUGGCCCUUUCCCACCCCUUCCCCCAGUCUUUCCCUUACUGGUUUAUUUUAGGGGUUUUUCAUUGUUUUAAAAAAGAGGAAAAGAAAAAGGGCGCGGUUUGUGGGGGGGUUUCUGGGUGGUUUAUUAAAGGGGCAAGUGCUGUGUGGCGCGGGGGGGGGUGUGGGAUACCGCAGCGGGGGGAGAGAGUGCGCCGGGGGGGGGGCGGGGGGCAAAAUAAAUAAUUUUUCUCCAUCCGAGAGAAAAAAAAUUUUUAUCCCCGCGGGGGGAGAAGGGUGAUAUUUGUUUUU